rnacentral:tRNA from 1 species
GCCUCUGUAGCUCAGUUGGUAGAGCGGAGGACUGAAUAUCCUCGUGGCGGUGGUUCGAUUCCGACCGGAGGCACCA